UGUGUGUGUGUGUGUGUAACUGAUAGUGAGUGAACUUGUGUGUGUGUGUUUGUGUCUGAUAGUGAGUGAGCUUGUGUGUGUGUGUUUGAUAGUGUGUGAGCUUGUGUGUGUCUGAUAGUGAGUGAGCUAGUAUGUGUGUGUCAGUGAUUUUGUUGUGACCAUGUGCGUGUUAGCGAGGUUGUCUGUAGUGAGCAUGUGUGUAUGUCAGUGAGCUUAUGUGUAAGCAUGCUUGUGUGUGUCACCUAGCUUUUCUGUAGUGAGCAUGUGUAUAUGUGUCAGUGAGCUUGUGUGUGUUGGUGAGCUUUUACUGACAGACACACACUCAGUUACGGACAUACAUACACACUCACUGACAGACAGACACACAUACACACUCACUUACAAAACAUACAUUCUCACUGAAAAACACACACUCACUAACAGACACCAAACAGACUCACUAACAGUCACACACAGUAACACACUCACUGACACACAAACUAACACACACUGACACUCACUAGCAGACACACACUCAAUAACAGACACACAAAUAACACACAACUAACACACUCAAUAACAGACACACACACACACACACACACAGUAACACACACACUGACACACAAAAACUAACACACACACAUACACACUAACACACAUACACACUCACAGCGUGCUUGUGUGUGUCACCUAGCUUUUCUGUAGUGAGCAUGUGUAUAUGUG